rnacentral:lncRNA from 1 species
GGUUGAAGAUUGGAGGUGGUGGUGAUGUGUGCUGGUUAUGGUGGAUGGUGAUUAUCUCGAAAUUCAUCUUCUAGAUUUCAUCUUUCUCAAUUUGUGAAUAUUAAUCUCUCUAAUUGGUUUUUUGUGUUGGUUUUUUGCAGGCUCUAUGAAAGAGGCAGCUCAGUUUCAAUUUUUGGGCUCUCAAUUUUAGGUUUGGUUUAUGUUUUUCUGUUUCUUUGCUGGGUUUUCUUCUAUUUUUCCUGUAUCAUUCUUGCUGAUUUGUUCAUCAUCUUUUUGCAAAGAAAUAGAAGCCUCAUCCCAUCAAUUUGAGUUAUAGUUAUUUGGAUUAAAUAUACAUUCUACUUAACUUACAAACAAUAGAAGUUUUAUCAUGUCAUUAUCUUCUUGAUUAUGAAUGAUGACAAAUUUAAUAAGUUUGAUUGAUGGAACAAUGACAAAUUUAAAAGUUUGAAACAAUUUUUAGUGUUUUAAUAAGUAUGAAACAAUUUCUUUCUCAUGGUAAAUAAUCUCUUUUAUUGUUAUAGGUAAAAGAUGAUUUGUUGUAUGUACCAGAGAAGGUAGACC